GCCAGGCACCGUGGCACGUGCCAGUAGCCCCAGCUACUCAGGAGGCUGAGGUGGGAGGAUCCCUUGAGCCCAGGAGUUCUGGGCUGCAGUGCGCUAUGUCGAGGGUGUCCGCACUAAGUUCGGCAUCAAUAUGGUGACCUCCUGGGAGCGGGGGACCACCAGGUUGCCUAAGGAAGUGUGAACCGGCCCAAGUUGGAAACAGAGCGGAGCAGGUCAAAACUCUGGUGCUGAGCAGUAGUGAGAUCGCGCCUGUGAACAGCCACUGCACUCCAGCCUGGGCAACCCAGUCUCAAAAU
rnacentral:SRP_RNA from 1 species